UACGUAGGGGGCAAGCGUUAUCCGGAUUUACUGGGUGUAAAGGGAGCGUAGACGGCCAGACAAGUCAGAAGUGAAAGCCCAGGGCUUAACCCUGGGACUGCUUUUGAAACUGCCGGGCUGGAGUGCAGGAGAGGUAAGCGGAAUUCCUAGUGUAGCGGUGAAAUGCGUAGAUAUUAGGAGGAACACCAGUGGCGAAGGCGGCUUACUGGACUGUAACUGACGUUGAGGCUCGAAAGCGUGGGGAGCAAACAGG
rnacentral:rRNA from 1 species